rnacentral:rRNA from 1 species
AGUGGCGAACGGGUGAGUAACACGUGAGUAACCUGCCCUUGACUCUGGGAUAAGCCUGGGAAACUGGGUCUAAUACCGGAUAGGAACGUCCACCGCAUGGUGGGUGUUGGAAAGAUUUAUCGGUCAUGGAUGGACUCGCGGCCUAUCAGCUUGUUGGUGAGGUAAUGGCUCACCAAGGCGACGACGGGUAGCCGGCCUGAGAGGGUGACCGGCCACACUGGGACUGAGACACGGCCCAGACUCCUACGGGAGGCAGCAGUGGGGAAUAUUGCACAAUGGGCGAAAGCCUGAUGCAGCGACGCCGCGUGAGGGAUGACGGCCUUCGGGUUGUAAACCUCUUUCAGUAGGGAAGAAGCGAAAGUGACGGUACCUGCAGAAGAAGCACCGGCUAACUACGUGCCAGCAGCCGCGGUAAUACGUAGGGUGCGAGCGUUAUCCGGAAUUAUUGGGCGUAAAGAGCUCGUAGGCGGUUUGUCGCGUCUGUCGUGAAAGUCCGGGGCUUAACCCCGGAUCUGCGGUGGGUACGGGCAGACUAGAGUGCAGUAGGGGAGACUGGAAUUCCUGGUGUAGCGGUGGAAUGCGCAGAUAUCAGGAGGAACACCGAUGGCGAAGGCAGGUCUCUGGGCUGUAACUGACGCUGAGGAGCGAAAGCAUGGGGAGCGAACAGGAUUAGAUACCCUGGUAGUCCAUGCCGUAAACGUUGGGCACUAGGUGUGGGGACCAUUCCACGGUUUCCGCGCCGCAGCUAACGCAUUAAGUGCCCCGCCUGGGGAGUACGGCCGCAAGGCUAAAACUCAAAGGAAUUGACGGGGGCCCGCACAAGCGGCGGAGCAUGCGGAUUAAUUCGAUGCAACGCGAAGAACCUUACCAAGGCUUGACAUGUUCUCGAUCGCCGUAGAGAUACGGUUUCCCCUUUGGGGCGGGAUCACAGGUGGUGCAUGGUUGUCGUCAGCUCGUGUCGUGAGAUGUUGGGUUAAGUCCCGCAACGAGCGCAACCCUCGUUCCAUGUUGCCAGCACGUAAUGGUGGGGACUCAUGGGAGACUGCCGGGGUCAACUCGGAGGAAGGUGGGGACGACGUCAAAUCAUCAUGCCCCUUAUGUCUUGGGCUUCACGCAUGCUACAAUGGCCGGUACAAUGGGUUGCGAUACUGUGAGGUGGAGCUAAUCCCAAAAAGCCGGUCUCAGUUCGGAUUGGGGUCUGCAACUCGACCCCAUGAAGUCGGAGUCGCUAGUAAUCGCAGAUCAGCAACGCUGCGGUGAAUACGUUCCCGGGCCUUGUACACACCGCCCGUCAAGUC